GCACAUUUCCUUGAUGGGUUUUGCCCCUAUGAUCUCCAAAGUUAAAAAGGCAAAGCACACAGUCAGCUAUUCUUCCUUAUCCGAAGAACUGAGUGUCAACGGUAAUUAAAACUACCUCUGUCCUCCAGGCUUUUUUUUCCCUGCUGUUACUCUGAUUUCAGCCAGUGCUCCGGCCCCUUAGCCCCACACACCAAGGGAGCAUCGGCAGCGCCUGCAGCUGCAAGUGAGCACCGAGGCCUGUGUGCAGUGGAGACUGAACGGGGUUUGCGGGAGGGCGGCCAGAAAGCACCCUGCCUCUGCCUGUCCUUGGCAGAGACUCCUUGGGGCAGAGGAGACCGAACUGGGUGUGAGUGGACUGUGUGCAUAAGUAGAGGCCGCCUGCCGCCUCCUCCAAGAGGGAGGAACCUCCGCCUCUUAGAUCUGCAACAGUUGGCAAGGCCGUAGCUUCCCGUCACUUCCUGACUUGCUCCUGCUCUCUGUAGAGGGAUUUUCUUGCCCAUGUCACUGUUGGGCACCCUUCCCGCCCCUUGGGCCUCUGGGGGACAUAACGUGGUGUAGUUCUUCCCAAGGGGGGGUAGGUACCAAGCAGUGCCCAGCUCGGGUCGCCAGCCUUACAUCUGAGGUGAAUUGUGGGCUCUUGACAAGUGGCCUGCGGUGAGCCACCUGAGCGCCUCCCAGGGUCGCUCUCUGGAUGUACUCACUGCUUAAAGUACACACACACUUAAACACACUCCAGCUGGUUCCAGGCUGAGAUCUGUGUGUGCCACGUGGCAGGUGUGUGAGGGAGGUGCCACUUCAGCGGCCUGCAGUCCAUCAGGGAGCUGUCUGGGCUUAGACCACUUUGUGAAAACCUGAGUGUGUGUCUGCAGAGCUCCUGUUCCUGAGGGCUAAUGGUUCAGCCCUUGAUGCAGCAGCUGAGGCCCAGCGAGAUGAAGAGCCCUAUCCAAGGUCGCUCAGCUAACCUGCAGCAGAAUGAGGACUUAAACUCCAGUCUGAUGAUCCAAAAGCCAGGCAGUGAGGCUGCUGCUGUCACAGACAAGGCCAGAAGUGGGGGUGGCCUCAGUGGAUCCAGAGCCGCAGACGUGCAGGCCCAGCAGGGACCUGAAGGGAAGUGACAGGACUCAGCGAGCACUGCUGAGGCAGAGGGGCAGGACGCGCUGCAAGCUCCGCCCUGACCAGCUGGACGGACAGCAUCCGCUGGGUCAUUUACUGCAGUGGAGAAUGAGGGGAAGGAGAGAGGUUUAGAGGGGAAAAACAUCUAAACUUGAUGUACUCUACUUCAUAAAAUAAAACUGGGGUAAUCCCAUGCCUAGAAACUCCCUCUCUUCAAGCCUCAAUCCCAGUGUUCUCUCCACCCAUUCCUGCCCCUCCUCCCGGCG
ensembl:lncRNA